UGCUGAGGCAGCAGGCUAAAAGUUUGUUACAUGCAGUGUAAGAAAAUGUCCGGAGGUGCUGACAUGCUUCACUCCUCUCAUACCUCUUAUAUCUUUGGGAAGCUUGACAUGCCAUAAUCUGCAAUUUUACAAAUCAAUCAAAAAAGAGAGGUCUUCAGUAAAGGCACUAAGAAAAAAACUGUGUUCUGUCAUUCCUGGAACCGACCUCACUGAGCAAGGCAUCUCCCUAAGACGCCUCCUUCCAUCAGACGUGCUCAAGACUAUGUGAAUGCUCACUUCGCCGACUUCAGUUCGCUAGUGAAACAAGAAGAAAAGCCUGACAAAAAACAACUGGUCAGUCAUAACGACUCUCACCAUCUACAACAGAGCCAAACACCAGUCGCUACCGCUCCAGGUGAACAUCUCAUUGAUUUUGUAGACCGGGAGCAGCUGAAGUUCCCCCCUACACACAUAAAAAUGGACAUUCCACCUCAGCCUAGACCUUCAGCGACUCCACAGACUGAGCUGCCGGAUCUAGCAGCCUAUCUAGCACGCCGUGAUCUACUGACAGCGGGAUUCAAGGUUUUCGACAACCGCCCUGAGUCCUACUUGUCCUGGAAGUCCAUCUUCUGCAACGCCAUAGAAGGCCUCAACCUCAAGCCCAGCGAAGAGCUUGACCUUCUAACCAAGUGGCUCAGCGGGGAAUCACUUCAACACGCCCUGAGGAUCAGGGCGGUCCACGUGAACAACCCACAAGCAGGCCUCCAACGUUUGUGGCAGCGUCUAGACAAGAGUUAUGGCUCUCCAGAGGUAGUCGAAGCGUCACUCUUCCAACGCUUACAGGCUUUUCCAAAGAUAUCCAAUAAAGAUGCUCACCAGCUGCAGGAGCUUGCAGAUCUUCUGCUAGUGUUAGAAUAUGCACGAAAUGAAGGUUAUCUGCCAGGCCUUAGCUUUCUUGACACCCCAAGGGGGAUAAACCCGAUAGUUGAAAAGCUCCCUUACGGACUCCAGGAGUCAUGGGUAAAACAAGGGACAAAAUACAAAAGAGACAAUGGUGCAGUUUACCCACCUUUCUCAUUCUUCGUUCAGUUUGUAAAUAACUAUGCUGAUAUGAAAACAGACCCUAGCUUUAUUUUACAAAGCGCUAACAUAGUAGCUCCAAGAGUUGACAAGACACUGAUAAAACCAAACAGAUACAGAGUUCCUGUUGCAGUGAACAAAACAUAUAUUAGUCAAACUAACAGCACAGCUCAAGCAUCCGUUCGUAAUCCGGACAAGCAAUGUCCUAUUCACCACAAGCCUCAUUCGCUCGCUAAAUGCAGGGGAUUUAGGUAAAAAACACUGGACGAAAGAAAAGGUAUUCUCAAAGAACACGCUAUUUGUUAUAAGUGUUGUUCUUCCACAAGUCACAGAGCUAAAGACUGUAAAGCCAUUAUCCAAUGCUCAGAAUGUAAUAGUGAUGCGCACGUGUCUGCCAUGCAUGUUGGUCCACCUCCGUGGACGCCUAAAGACUCUAACCCUCUGCUUCAGAGCCACGGCGGGGAGUCCGAUUCCCCAAGCCCUGCAACUACAACUAGUUGCACAGAAGUGUGUGGCCGAGGCCUCAAAGGUAAAUCCUGCUCUAAGAUUUGCUUAGUCAAUGUGUAUUCCCGCACUUCGCCUGAAGAGAAAAGGAGGAUGUACGCCAUGUUAGAUGAUCAAAGCAUCCUUAGCCAGGUCUGCCUUCUUUGACAUGUUUAAUGUAAAAGGUACCAUACUCCCAUACACCAUGAAAACAUGCGCUGGUCUAUCGGAGACUGGAGGGCGCAGAGCUAGUGACUUUGUUAUUGAGGAUGCAAAUGGAAAAGUGUCCAUGCUGCUGCCCAUACUAACAGAAUGUGAUCAGAUUCCAGAUAACAGGGACGAGAUUCCCACCUCUGAGGCUGCGUCGGCUAACCCUCAUCUACAGGCAAUCGCUUCGCAGAUUCCUCCUCUGGACCCAUCAGCAGAAAUCCUUCUCCUCUUGGGCAGGGACAUCAUCCAAGCUCACAAGGUCCGCAGUCAGGUUGCUGAGUCAGUAUUUCAGCAGGUCUUCCGCCACUAUGGCUUUUCGGAGUAUAUCAUAUUCCCUGGGGACCUCAUCUGGCUCUCCACGCAGGAACCCCCACUUCAUCUGCCCUGCCGGAGGUUGAGCCAGCCCAUGGUCAACGAGGUGAUUUACAGGUUGGAAUCUAAUUGGCCGCAUACAAAUGGUUGAUUUUCAUCACUUCGUUUUUUGCUUACAUUUGGCAUAUUCAAGUUCUCUCCAAUAGAAAGCCUGCCUAUAUUGAAGUGGUGACUGAAGGCAUCAACAAUAGCUUUCUUAUCAGUAAUGAGCCCAGUCCACAAUCAUUUGUUUUGGUAACAACGUGGAUAACUGUUCUUCAGGUUUUUAACAGCUUUCCAGAAUAUGUCAGGAUUCCCCUUGCAAUCAGAUUAUGUACAUAAUAUACAGAUUUUUCCAUUCAAAUAAGGUUUUUAGGGAGAUAUGUGUGCUGUUUUAAAUGAUCAGCAUAGCAACUUCCCUGUGGCCCUCAGCAAGUAAACAAUGUCACACUAAAAGUCUGGGUUUUCAUAUCGUUGUUGGAACAGGGCAAAGCAUACAUAACUCCUGCAGCAGAUGUAUCCCUCAUAAAGUCUGCUGUCCAAAGGGUCCACCAUUCCAAAGAAAUGUUGUGUUGAGUUAAAAAUGCAAAGAAUUCGAGACAAUUGACAGUCCGGCCCGUUAAGGCCAGCCUUGACACCAAAAACAAUAACGUAAAUCAAAUCAUUAAAGGUAAUCUAGAAAUCUAAGAAAACUAAGUUAAACAAAUAAAUAAGAAGCACAUAAAGACAAUAGGAUACAGAACAAAAUACAAAUGCGACAUAUAAUUAGAAUGUGUGAUUUUGAUCAAAUUAAAAUGUUAACAUACUCCAGAGCAUUCUUAUGAAAAGAUAGAGGACAGGUUUUCCAAGUGUUUUUUGUUGAUGUGUAAGAGAAGACAGCAACCUUAUUGGUAUGCCUGGAAUGCCAUUAUAGAAUUAGUAAUAGAUUUAAAAAUUUACCAGCAAUUAAUCUAUUUGUGAAGUAAUGGUAAUAUAAACAGAAUCUAAUACAGAAAUACGUUUUACAGAUUACAUACAUUGUACAUUUUAAAAUCCUUCUGGUAUUUAGAAUAAUAAUUAUGAAUUAUCCUUAAAAAAGGGUGAGCCUUGUCAUUGAAAUUAAAGGUUCUCUCAAUGUUAUUAACCGCAAUUGAUCUUUGUGACUUUGGCCUAAGCGGCAGUGUUUCUUUCUUGCCACAAGAUGUCACUUCAAUUCACUUGAAAACCCUCAAUGUCUCAUCCAAGUCAGAGCAUACCACUUUACCAAAUGGAGGUAAAAGUGAUUAAUGGAUAUGUUUAGGGAAUAAAUUGACCCUCUGAGAAGUAGAUACAUUAUGCAUAAUGGGGGUAGAUCUGAUGUUCCUUGACUUAGAAUAAUUUUUUCCCAAUGAUGUUUGAGUAGUGUAAAAUGAAAGCCUUAAAUCUAUUGACAAAAAGGUGUUUAUACUUGCCAUCCCUGAACUGACAGCAUAGUCAGUUAAUUAUUGCUAUAGUCUCCAUACUCUGAUUAUUAAUCACAAUAAAGCUACUUACUAAAAGACUAAGACCGGAAUGUCAUCCCUAAAAUCAACACCUCCUUAGCCAUUAUUAUUUUACGUUCUCUGCAGCCGUUCACUGGAAUUAAUUGCACAAUACUUUUAGACUUAACACUUUCAUCACUGCUUUUUUGUUCAAAAUCAAACUGCUAAGCACUUUACCUCUAUGGAGAGUAAAUGUGCACCUUAUCCAUCUUGAAAUACAUAUCACCUCAUUCUGUGUAACUUGUUGACCUCUUACGCCACUGUAAAUGUUUAUUUAUUGCUUUUAUUGUCUCAGAGUGUUAUCUUAUUCAAGUGUAACUGAUUGUUUUGUCUUGUUAUUGCCAUAAGUCAGAAUAGUUUCUGAAUCAACUUUCCUGGUUAGGAAAAUAAAGUUAAUAAGUAGGUAAAAAUGUAUUCCCAUUUAAAUAUAAGGAAACCCAUAUGACAUUACACAUAAAGGUAUUAUAUUGUUAAGUAUCUUAUAAUUUAAGGAUUACUAGGCAAACAAAGUUAAAGUUAACACCCAUAAUCCCACACUAGCAACUUCCGAGGAAAGAAUAUCAAAGGUUAAUGUUUUAUGGUGUGUUUACUUUUUAACUAACUGUACAGCUGAUAUAAAAAGUCUACACACCCCUGUUAAAAUGUCAGGUUCUUUUAUUUACUGAUUAUAUCUGACGAUUUUUCUGUUAUUAUUGCUGAAAUUAAAUAAUUAGAUCUUUGUUACCUUGUAACAACUUAUUCCAUGCAAUGGAAUUAAUUUAUAAAAAUAAAAUAUUUAAGUACUGUCACGGUGCGGUGAGGAUCAGUGUCACUGUGACAAGUAUAAAGAAAAUAAAUAAAACUAGUAAGGCAACAAUAAACAAACUUAACUUUAUAGACACUUGAGCAGUGGCAGUCUAUAGUAUAGGAAGCGUAGCUUCUCAGCCUUGGCACUUCACAGCUCAAAAGGUAUUCUAGAAUUGUAUCAGAUCAUUAAAUGCAUGCUCAAACAGCCAACCCAAGAGAAGUAUUGCAAUUUUUUUUAAACUAUUGUUAGUAAUGGGCAAAUCAUUGGGCCAAUGAAUGGAUCUUUUUACAUAUUGAUAAGUUUGAAGAGUAUAAACCGAGCAGGACCCUUAGAUGCAUGAACUCAGGUCAGCUAUUGGAGCCCAGAGUCCAAACUAAACAUGGCGAAGCUCAAUUUUACAGUUAUGCUGCACAAUGUAAAUAAACUACCAGAACAUCUUACACGUGCCCAAAACGUAUACAUCCAGGUUGAAAACAUUUCUCUUUUCUCGCGCCAAUGACUGAGCGCUUAAACUUAACCACACUGUUAGCCUUACAGCUUUUAUAGCUUCCUCAUGGAAUCUACUACAGAAUCUACCAGUUAUGUUUUGAUUUUCUUUUAUUCUAUUUCUAUUUUCUUAUUCAUUGUUUUCUUAGAAUGAUGUUUUAUUGUUGUUUAUUGUUUGUAUUCUAGUAUUUGUUUUUAUGCAAUUGUAUUUUUAUAUUUCUCUUUUUCUUUGUAAAGCACAUUGAACUGCUUCUAUGUAUGACUUUUGCUAUAUAAAUAAACUUGCUUGCUUGCUAUUGACUUGCUAUUGAAUGGUGGGCUUUCUUCAGUAUUCAUACUUUUUGCAAAACAUUAUACAACUUUUUUUUAAAUAGGCAAAUCAUGGUGAUUACCUCUUCUUGACAGGGAUGCAAUUUAU
ensembl:lncRNA